UGGGGAAUAUUGGACAAUGGGCGCAAGCCUGAUCCAGCAAUGCCGCGUGUGUGAAGAAGGUCUUCGGAUUGUAAAGCACUUUCGACGGGGACGAUGAUGACGGUACCCGUAGAAGAAGCCCCGGCUAACUUCGUGCCAGCAGCCGCGGUAAUACGAAGGGGGCUAGCGUUGCUCGGAAUGACUGGGCGUAAAGGGCGCGUAGGCGGAUGGUACAGUCAGAUGUGAAAUUCCCGGGCUCAACCUGGGGGCUGCAUUUGAUACGUAUGAUCUUGAGUGGGGAAGAGGGUCGUGGAAUUCCCAGUGUAGAGGUGAAAUUCGUAGAUAUUGGGAAGAACACCGGUGGCGAAGGCGGCGACCUGGUCCUUUACUGACGCUGAGGCGCGAAAGCGUGGGGAGCAAACA
rnacentral:rRNA from 1 species